rnacentral:lncRNA from 1 species
GCAUUUUGAAAUGUAAAGUAAAGAGACACUAGAGUUAGUGUGAUGCAAAGAACCAAUGUAAUGUAAAGAAUGAUGAAAAUGACAAUGUUUAAAGUUAAAGUAAUGUGGGGAGUAAAGAACACGAAGUGUUAGAGGUAGCCAAAAGUAAAGAAUGUACAGAUUAUAAUUGCUAGAGUUAGCAAAAGUAAAAGAAAUGUAAAGAACGU